AAUUUCUUGAAAAGAAGACAGUUCGUUAUUGCUAGCCCAUAAUUCUACUAGAUUUUUUAGUCCCGCUAAGUAUGAAAGGUGCUUAAUCAUGUUGUUGGAAACAUCCAAAAUUUCAAGGUUUUCGAGGACCUCAAUACCAGAGAAACUAGUUAGACCAUUAUGCGAUACAUAUAAUUCUCGAAGACAAUGGGAUAAGCAGGCCAAGUUUUCA